UUGAUCUCUAACAUUUUUGAUGUAAAAUAAUAUGAGAUUUAUCAAAAAAUCAGUGAGUUUCAUUCUCAUCAAUUCUUCGACGGCGUUGACGCUACUUACAUUCCAAUUCUAGGGUUUGAAGAAAUCGUUGAGGGACUCAGAUAUAUGAGAGUUUCCAAAUGCUCUACUGGAAGCUGAAGGAUCUUUGAGCUGAGAGCUCAGUAUUACUGAUUGCACUGUGGAGAUUUCUGUGAUUAUCUUCAUGGAUUCUGGAAGAAAACACAUACUGACACAAUGAAGUUCAACAAUCUCUACAACAUCAGAAGAAAUUCCCUUUACCAUCUCUAUAGUAGAAUGUGGAAGCCCAUUUGAAAGCAGGAUUCCGUGGGAGAGCAGUGGUGUUGAUAUCGACAAGUAAGUAUUAUAUGGAUCUGAUGC